rnacentral:rRNA from 1 species
GUCUAUGGUCAUACCAUCCUGUAUGCACCAGAUCUAGUCUGAGCUUGGAAGCUAAGCAGCGUAGGGCCUAGUUAGUAUUAUACUUGGAUGGGAGAAAGUACUAAUUUAGUAUAGACA